rnacentral:rRNA from 1 species
GAUGAACGCUGGCGGCGUGCCUAAUACAUGCAAGUCGAGCGAACAGACGAGGAGCUUGCUCCUCUGACGUUAGCGGCGGACGGGUGAGUAACACGUGGAUAACCUACCUAUAAGACUGGGAUAACUUUGGGAAACUGGAGCUAAUACCGGAUAAUAUAUUGAACCGCAUGGUUCAAUAGUGAAAGACGGUUUUGCUGUCACUUCUCGAUGGAUCCGCGCCGCAUUAGCUAGUUGGUAAGGUAACGGCUUACCAAGGCGACGAUGCGUAGCCGACCUGAGAGGGUGAUCGGCAACACUGGAACUGAAACACGGUCCAGACUCCUACGGGAGGCAGCAGUAGGGAAUCUUCCGCAAUGGGCGAAAGCCUGACGGAGCAACGCCGCGUGAGUGAUGAAGGUCUUCGGAUCGUAAAACUCUGUUAUUAGGGAAGAACAAAUGUGUAAGUAACUAUGCACGUCUUGACGGUACCUAAUCAGAAAGCCACGGCUAACUACGUG